rnacentral:rRNA from 1 species
GAAGCAGCCACCCUUUAAAGAAAGCGUAAUAGCUCACUAGUCGAGUCGGCCUGCGCGGAAGAUGUAACGGGGCUAAAACUAUGUGCCGAAGCUGCGGAUUUGACAUUAGUCAAGUGGUAGGGGAGCGUUCUGUAAGCCGAUGAAGGUGUAUUGAGAAGUAUGCUGGAGGUAUCAGAAGUGCGAAUGCUGACGUGAGUAACGACAAAACGGGUGAAAAACCCGUUCGCCGAAAGACCAAGGGUUCCAGUCCAACGUUAANNNNNNNNNNUCGGGGCUGGGUGAGUCGACCCCUAAGGCGAGGCCGAAAGGCGUAGUCGAUGGGAAAAUGGUUAAUAUUCCAUUACUUCUGUGUAAUGCGAUGAGAGGACGGAGAAGGCUAAAUCAGCCUGGCGUUGGUUGUCCAGGUGAAAGGAUGUAGGCAUGUAUCUUAGGCAAAUCCGGGGUACUCUAUGCUGAGAUCUGAUAGCAAGCUGUACUUGUACAGCGAAGUGGUUGAUGCCAUGCUUCCAGGAAAAGUCUCUAAGCUUCAGUUACACAGGAAUCGUACCCGAAACCGACACAGGUGGUCAGGUCGAGUAGACCAAGGCGCUUGAGAGAACUCUGCUGAAGGAACUAGGCAAAAUGGUACCGUAACUUCGGGAGAAGGUACGCUGUUGUUGGUGAUGGAACUCGCUUCCUGAGCUGACGACAGCCGCAGAAACCAGGCCGCUGCAACUGUUUAUUAAAAACAUAGCACUCUGCAAACACGAAAGUGGACGUAUAGGGUGUGAUGCCUGCCCGGUGCUGGAAGGUUAAUUGAUGGGGUUAGCGUAAGCGAAGCUCUUGAUCGAAGCCCCAGUAAACGGCGGCCGUAACUAUAACGGUCCUAAGGUAGCGAAAUUCCUUGUCGGGUAAGUUCCGACCUGCACGAAUGGCAUAAUGAUGGCGGCGCUGUCUCCAGCAGAGGCUCAGUGAAAUCGAAAUCGCUGUGAAGAUGCAGUGUACCCGCGGCUAGACGGAAAGACCCCGUGAACCUUUACUGCAGCUUGACACUGAACUUUGACCUUACUUGUGUAGGAUAGGUGGGAGGCUUUGAAGCUGGAACGCUAGUUCCAGUGGAGCCGUCCUUGAAAUACCACCCUGGUAAUGUUGAGGUUCUAACUCUGUCCCGUGAUCCGGGACGAGGACCGUGUCUGGUGGGUAGUUUGACUGGGGCGGUCUCCUCCUAAAGAGUAACGGAGGAGUACGAAGGUGCGCUCAGCGUGGUCGGAAAUCACGCGUAGAGUAUAAAGGCAAAAGCGCGCUUAACUGCGAGACCCACAAGUCGAGCAGGUACGAAAGUAGGUCUUAGUGAUCCGGUGGUUCUGUAUGGAAGGGCCAUCGCUCAACGGAUAAAAGGUACUCUGGGGAUAACAGGCUGAUACCGCCCAAGAGUUCAUAUCGACGGCGGUGUUUGGCACCUCGAUGUCGGCUCAUCUCAUCCUGGGGCUGAAGCAGGUCCCAAGGGUAUGGCUGUUCGCCAUUUAAAGAGGUACGCGAGCUGGGUUUAGAACGUCGUGAGACAGUUCGGUCCCUAUCUACCGUGGGCGCUGGAAAUUUGAGAGGAUCUGCUCCUAGUACGAGAGGACCAGAGUGGACGAACCUCUGGUGUACCGGUUGUGACGCCAGUCGCAUCGCCGGGUAGCUAUGUUCGGAAGGGAUAACCGCUGAAAGCAUCUAAGCGGGAAGCCUACCUCAAGAUAAGAUUUCCCUAGGACUUUAUGUCCUCUAAAGAGCCGUUCGAGACUAGGACGUUGAUAGGUUGGAUGUGGAAGCAUAGUGAUAUGUGAAGCUGACCAAUACUAAUUGCUCGUGAGGCUUGACUAUACAACACCCAAGCAGUUG